rnacentral:rRNA from 1 species
UACAGAGGUCUCAAGCGUUGUUCGGAUUCAUUGGGCGUAAAGGGUGCGUAGGUGGCGAGGUUAGUCAGGUGUGAAAUCUCGGGGCUUAACCCCGAAACUGCACUUGAUACUGCCUUGCUAGAGUACUGGAGAGGAGAUUGGAAUUUACGGUGUAGCAGUGAAAUGCGUAGAUAUCGUAAGGAAGACCAGUGGCGAAGGCGAAUCUCUGGACAGUUACUGACACUGAGGCACGAAGGCCAGGGGAGCAAACGGG